AAUCUUGCGCAAUGGGCGAAAGCCUGACGCAGCAACGCCGCGUGCGGGAUGAAGGCCUUCGGGUUGUAAACCGCUUUCAGUGGGGACGAACCAAGACGGUACCCACAGAAGAAGCCCCGGCCAACUACGUGCCAGCAGCCGCGGUAACACGUAGGGGGCAAGCGUUGUCCGGAUUUAUUGGGCGUAAAGAGCUCGUAGGUGGCUCAGUAAGUCGGGUGUGAAACCUCCAGGCUCAACCUGGAGACGCCACCCGAUACUGCUGUGGCUAGAGUCCAGUAGGGGAGCGUGGAAUUCCUGGUGUAGCGGUGAAAUGCGCAGAUAUCAGGAGGAACACCAGUGGCGAAGGCAGCCCCCUGGGAUAAUACUGACGCUCAGACACGAAAGCGUGGGGAGCAAACAGG
rnacentral:rRNA from 1 species